UGGGGAAUAUUGGACAAUGGGCGAAAGCCUGAUCCAGCCAUGCCGCGUGUGUGAAGAAGGUCUUCGGAUUGUAACGCACUUUAAGUUUCGAGGAAGGGCAGUUACCUAAUACGUGAUUGUUUUGACGUUACCGACAGAAUAAGCACCGGCUAACUCUGUG
rnacentral:rRNA from 1 species